GGGAAGGGGGCAGCUACCAUGCAGUCGGACGGUAGCACAGAGAACUUGGUCCCGUGUGAGAAGUGUGGGACGGGUGAGUAAUGUGUGGGGAUCUGCCCCAUAUAGGGGGAGAACCCCUGUGAACGGUGGGUAAUACCCCAUAACGUCUCAAGACCAAAAAGGGGGACCUUCUGGCCUCUCACUAUCUCAUGAGCCCCCAUGGGAUUAUCUAUUAUGCGGGGUAAUGGGCCCCCUAUGCGACAAUCCCCCUCUGGGCUGAGAGAAUGACCCCCCCCACUGUAACUGAGACACGGUCCCCACACCCACAGGAGGCGCCACUGGGGAAUAUUGUGCAAUGGGCGCACGCCUGAUGCACCCCUGCCCCGUGUGUAAAAAAAGCCUUCUCGUUGUAAAGUACUUUCUCCGCGGAGAAAAGCGACAGGGUUAAUAACCCCGUCUAUUGUGAUUACCCCCACAAAAAACACCGCCUAUAUCCCUGCCCCCACCCCCGCUAAUACAGAGGGUGUGAACGUUAUUCUCAAUUACUGUGCGUAAAGCGCACACACGCGGUCUGUUAAAUCUCAUAUGAAAUCUCCGGGCUCAUCCUGUGAACUGUGUUUUAAACUGUGACGCUUGAGUCUUGUGUAGAGGGGUAUAAAACUACGUGUGUCGCUGAGAUGCGUAUAGAUCUCUAGAAGAACACCUGUCGAAAGCGCGCCCCUGUGCAAAGACAGAGAC
rnacentral:rRNA from 1 species